rnacentral:rRNA from 1 species
UACGUAGGGUGCAAGCGUUAUCCGGAAUUAUUGGGCGUAAAGAGCUCGUAGGCGGUGUGUCGCGUCGGCCGUGAAAACCUGCAGCUUAACUGUGGGCUUGCGGUCGAUACGGGCAUCACUGGAGUUCGGCAGGGGAGACUGGAAUUCCUGGUGUAGCGGUGAAAUGCGCAGAUAUCAGGAGGAACACCGGUGGCGAAGGCGGGUCUCUGGGCCGAUACUGACGCUGAGGAGCGAAAGCGUGGGGAGCGAACAGG